AACAUUUUUAACCGACUUCAAGAUUUCAAAGGAGGAGGUUCUCAAUUCGGUUGUAUGUUUUUUUUAUGUUUGUUACUCCAUAACUCCGUCAUUUCUGGGCCGAUUUUGAAAAUUCUUUUUUUGAUUGUAAGUAUAUAUAUACAGAUUGGUCACGUUUUUGUCAAAACACAGUUCUGAUAAUGGGAUCCAUGAGGAAUUGAGGGAACUCCUCAAAUGUGAAAGGCGUAUAGUGAUUUUUGUAUUUUCAUCAACAAAUCCAGCAUUUCCAUUUAAAAAAGUGACAUUUGAUGAAGUGGAGCUGCUGAUGAUGAUCAGAAUUGAACUCUUCAACGACACAUAGUUCACGUUUGGCGAUUU